AUGACUACGAUAUCCGUCCUCAUCUGGACUCUCCUCUGCUGCUGCUUCACAGAGUCCAGAGGUCAGAUCACAGUGACUCAGCCUGCAGCAGUGAGAUCUACUCUGGGAGGACCUGCAACCAUCAGCUGUAAGACCAGUCAGAAUGUUUAUAAUUCAAACAGUUUAGCCUGGUACCAACAGAGAGAUGGAGAAACUCCUAAACUUCUCAUUUACUAUACUACCACUCAAGCAUCAGGUAUUCCAGGUCGUUUUACAGGCAGUGGAUCAAACUCUGACUUCACUCUGACCAUCAGUGGAGUUCAGGCUGAAGAUGCAGCAGUUUAUUACUGUCAGAGUUUCCACUAUCCCAACAGUCAGUAUGUGUUCACACAGUGA